rnacentral:rRNA from 1 species
CGAGACCUUCGGGUCUAGCGGCGGACGGGUGAGUAACGCGUGGGAAUAUGCCCUUUGGUACGGAAUAGCCUCGGGAAACUGAGAGUAAUACCGUAUGUGCCCUUCGGGGGAAAGAUUUAUCGCCAAAGGAUUAGCCCGCGUUGGAUUAGGUAGUUGGUGGGGUAAUGGCCUACCAAGCCUACGAUCCAUAGCUGGUUUGAGAGGAUGAUCAGCCACACUGGGACUGAGACACGGCCCAGACUCCUACGGGAGGCAGCAGUGGGGAAUCUUAGACAAUGGGGGCAACCCUGAUCUAGCCAUGCCGCGUGAGUGAUGAAGGCCUUAGGGUUGUAAAGCUCUUUCAGCUGGGAAGAUAAUGACGGUACCAGCAGAAGAAGCCCCGGCUAACUCCGUGCCAGCAGCCGCGGUAAUACGGAGGGGGCUAGCGUUGUUCGGAAUUACUGGGCGUAAAGCGCACGUAGGCGGACUGGAAAGUUGGAGGUGAAAUCCCAGGGCUAAACCUUGGAACUGCCUUCAAAACUUUCAGUCUGGAGUUCGAGAGAGGUGAGUGGAAUUCCGAGUGUAGAGGUGAAAUUCGUAGAUAUUCGGAGGAACACCAGUGGCGAAG